CAACUAAUCUGCGCGGUGUUUAACACCUUCAAAGUGCUUGCCAGUUGAACACGUCAUCGAUCAGUGUGAGCACUGUAAAAACAAUUAGUAAAUUCAACACUCCAAUCAUACCUUUGUGGCAUGUUUUGCAAAUUGGAACUGAUGAAAUAUUGCGUACAGUUUCAACCAUAUUUUUAUGAGUGAGUCGUGCGCCAGGCUGUGUGUAGUCUCUCAUGAGCAGCUGGAGGCGAGUAGACUGGCGGAGACUGGGCCAUGGCCUGGGCUGACCUCUGCUAGUCCGUUCAGUAGGCGGAGCUGGCGGAGCUUCCAGAAGGCCUUAUUGAGAGCAAUGAAGAGGGGGUAGAGGAAGGUGAGGGGGUGGUCCGCAGUAUCAGGCCAACGCCGCUGAGCGCCCGACAGGCUUUGUGCCCCUGGCGCCGCCUGGCUACGCCUGGCGCACCCCCGGGUGUGCGCAUGCGCGGCGACCGUGGCGGCCUCUGCCGCCCUGCGUACAGCGGCGAGCUCCUGUGGGGGACCCUGUGGGGGACCCUGUGGGGGACCCCCUCUGCCCCUGGCGCGGCUCACGGCCUGGGUUGGCCCACCCUGAUCAAUGGAUCAAUACCGUUAGCGCCUCGGACGGGUAAACACCUCCCGAAUCCUUCCGAGUCGAGCCGAAGCGACCCGAGGUGAGCCGAAGGAAGCCCGAGUGAAGAGUGGAGCCUCGCCGAGCAAGCCCGAGCGAGGGUCGGCUCUGUGCAGGGCCUCGGUGGGGCCUGCGGCGCAUGAAGGGCCUCCACUGCGGGGCGCGACGCGCUAGCGACGCCACGGCCCUGGGGGCCACCUUGUCACCACCUUGGCCUCGGCCUCAUCGGGGACCUCAUCAGAGACCUCUUUGAUGGCCUCAACCACCAUGGAGGCUCGCCGACGUGCUGCGCGCCCUCGGCUGGCCAGCGAGGGUGGCCGGAGGACCGCGUUGCCUCUCUAGCGCGCCCUGACAACCGCCCUGGCAGACACACAACCAUCACCAUCAUAAAACAACUCAACUAAACCAAGCAAUAGCAGUAACCCACGCUUCUUGCCAUAUCGUGAGUUGUUGUUCUAAUUGAUAGUUACCCUCCUUCGUGGACCAGGUACGGUCCGCGCCAUCAGAAGCAAUUCAAGUGGAUGUCACCAAACUUCGGUCAUUUUGUCUUACUUGAUGUCUCUCGGGAUACUAUUCGCAUGCCACCGUCAGAAAUGUGAAAAUAGACGAGUUACUCCGAGCGUCGUAGAUUGUGUGCGUGCCCCGUGUAUGACACUUGUCACCUGAUUUACGUACAAAGUUUAAGUUUGCGAUGUCACAGCUGAUUUAUACAAUUUAGGCUGUGCCUUCUUAUUUUCCUUGUUUUCAUUGCGAAAUUCUCGAUAGUGUCUGAUAAUCGCAGCCUUCCGAUCUUCACUCAUCACUGAGGGAACAGAAAUGUGAUGUUUCAAGUACUAUUAGUUCUUGCUACCUGUAAGUUUUGUUUAAUCAAACAUGACUCAUAAUUUUCUGACAAUUCUUCAUUCUUAGGGAAGGCGUUACCUAACUUCACUGGCAAUUUAUUUCAUUCAUCUGUACGACUAUGUUGUUUUCGUCAAUGAUCUUAAUAACACAAUAUUAUACUAAUUUCCUGUUAAACUAUUAUUAUCUCAUCAGUAUGCAUCGUGGAGCCAGUUGAUAAUUGCUGCCCAAAGUGCUGUCGAAAAAUUUCUUGUAAUACUUUUCACAUCACUUUGGGCUAAAACAAAUAAACCCGUUAAUGUUAAGCACCUAUUCAUUACAUUCCUGCGGAAAUUCUAAAUGUGUCUACAAACAAAAUGUUCCUUUGGUAUGUUUUAGUUAAUUUGGCAAUUAUCAUACAUGUGCGACUUGGCUGCAUAAAACUUAACUGUAUGCAUUAUAUUGAAAAUAAUUGAUACGUGAGGCAGAAAAACAAUGUGUUCAAAAAUACAGGUACUAAAUGUAGUAAGCUAUCUCUGUAAAGUAAGUGAAUGUUUUGACAUAUUCUAAACUAUCUUUACCUUGUAAGUUGUACUACGGUUAGUUCGGUGCUGCUCUGACUUUCCAUGGUUUGUUAGCGUAGUGUGUCUGAUGACUUCAUAAGUACAGUAGUCACUCAGAGAUUUGCCGCCAAUAGUGCAGUUUCGGCGCUAUGGGGCAACUCUGGAUGAAGUUCCCUCCACCGACCUCAGAGAGAGAGAGAUAGAGAAAGAGAGAGCUGGUCGCGGAGUGAGGAGGGGAAAAGGUGGCGGCCUGGUGCUAACUGCGCGCGAACUAAUAAGGUGACGGGGCUGAGUGGCGAAGAUGGCAAGAAAUGGUGGUGUGCGACAACCUUCGAAAGCGGCUACAGUUGUCUUAAAUCAGCUUGGAGAAGUUUCUUGAACCGUAAUCCAAUUGAAAAAAUUGGAAGCCCGGCACCAUGGAUAUAUGUUAGUAUCUCGUAAGGAUCGAUUAGUCAGAUUUCUGUUCAUCUUGUGUACUCGUGUGUCCUAGACCUGUCCUUUUUUGUAGUGCAUAAUUACAAAGUACGUGUGCGUUCUGAUAAAAACCAAAUUUUGGCACACUACCGGUAGUUUGAGUGCAUAAUAUUUAUUUUGAAGUAUUUUACUCGAAACGUUUUCAGGGUAUGCGCCAAUAGGCCGUAGCAAAAUAUAAGGAGAUGGUUUUAAUUUACAACAAUUCGCUAAAAUAUAUUUGUCUACCAGGCCCGUCGUCUUUCGACCGAAAUUUCAGAUGAUAAUAUUGUGAACGCAAUAGUUUUCUGCUAUGGAUGUGAAACACAAUUUCAAAAUGAACCAAUCCAGUCCGAGCAUAUUGUUAACAAGGAAAUAAUGGUUUCAUUCAUUGUACGCCUAAAGACGCUACCUUACAUAAAAAAAAUACCAACUUUCUGUACUUGAUAACUACGAUACUUUGAUUGUGAUACCACAAAGUUCAAAUUUGAAAGAAUUGCUUUUAGCUAAAUGUAUUUGUCAGUCACGAACGGCGGAAGUUGCGUUGCCGCGGACAUUAGUGCAGUUCACUGAAAUUUCUUUUUGGUAGCGAUAUCAACUUUUUGGUCUGUGGUAAUUUUAAUCUUGUUUUUAGUUUGAAAAGGUACUUGAAAUACGGUUAACGUUGCUACGUGUAAAUCUUAGAUCAUUUCUCUAUGCCGGACCAAUGAAAAACUCUUCGUACAUGAGUUGAGAUUGUAACAGUCUUUAAAACGUAAAAAAAAAAAACAAGUCAAAGUAGGGAGCAUGACACUUAUUAGAAAAGGCUGUUUUUUUUACGCCAGUACACCGUUACGGUGUGGCCACAGCCUACAGCUCUAGUCACAGCUGUUUUCUUGUCACUAUCGUGGCCAAAAACAACCACUUUUUUGUGCUCCAUUUUGCUUAACGUUAAAAGACCAAGAUUAUUCUGUUACAUACUACUACUCUAACGGCCUAGAAGUGCUUGCGAGGCAAUCAAUGAAAAUUGACGGAACAUGUAAUGUUGGUAAAUUGAUAAAUAGAGGUAGUUAUUUUAACAAAAUAAUGACGUUUUGCACGUGACAGUUGCAAAUGUUAUCACAUUUUGGCAAAUUUAACAUUUUGCUACGUGUUAGCGCAACGGAGUUCUUUGACGGUACUUUUAUCUAUUCUGCCUAUGCGCCUAAGCCGCAGAGCAAAAUAAGCGUUCCCAAAUCGGGUGACAUUGAUUCGCACGUUUUAGAAUAUAUUAUUCGUGGCUCCAAAGUUUCUGUAUCAUAAAAGAAGUGUUUCCUUGAUGUCAAUCUUAAACAUAUUCGUCGUUUCAAUGUUGUUACAAUAGUUCCAUUGUGCUGGUAUUGCAUUUAAUAAGUCUUGAACCGUUUAGUACUAUACAGUGAAAUUAUGUUACUUAAUAUCUAUUUUAAUACGACUCCUAUCCUUUCAAAAAAUUUUCUUAUAUUUCCUGCCUCUAACGACAUUUUCCUGGCGAUUGUGUCCUUCGAUUCUUUCUUUCUUUCGAAAAGCGGAGUCUAAGUACAGGUUAGGAUACAAUGUCUUGUAAUCGUGUUUAAAAUUUUUGCAUCGUCAGGCGUGGAUCCAGGUGAUCUUUUGGUGAGGGACAGAGGGCAACCACAAUAUUUGCCCUAAAUAAACACAUUCAGUGCGGUGCUGCUUACGCGUCAUAGAAACCAGUACAGUGUGGCCAUAUCGUGGCCGUGCCGCACUGUGGGUGUCGAGGUACUGUGCAAAUAUGCACACUCAAGGUUUUAAGGUCCAAAAUGAAAGCCCAUAUGCUUCUGCCUGAAUUAAUCGCGUUGGAUCCGCGCCCGCUAGUUGUCUCUAAUGUGAGACCUUCAAAAUUGAAGGACAAUGAAAUAUAUCCCUGUUUGGGCUGCUUCCCAUGAUAUCGUGCAGUAAAUUUUGCAGGCAUAGAGCUUUUAAGAAUGUAACCCUGCAUUGUGUGAUACUUGCUGAGCUGUGAUUGCAACGAUAUAAUUGUAUAAAUAUUUAUUUCUGGUCUAAAAGAAGCAUUCUUUCUAUAAAUUACAAGAUUAUUAUUUUGCCUAAGGCUACAUUGUGUUAAGAUUCAAUCUAUGCUCAUCAAUUUGUUUAACUACCCUAAUAUUUAUGUCUAUGUUUUACUAAAGUCCACCAGUUUAAUUUAGAGAAUGUAUGCCCCGUUGAGCGAUUGACAAACUUCUCUUUUGUUCAGGAUUGAACAUUCAGACACCACUUUACAUUACAAAAUGCAGAAAAUAACGCGUGUUCGAAUGAAUGAAAGCAAAUGUUAGUAUAGGUGUAUCUAAAGCUCACUUUUAGUGUUUGUGUGCGAGUGGUGAGUGUACGUAUGUGUGUCCGGGAGGGACUAGGGUCUAAGGACGUCGAACAGUUUUCUUCGUUUCAAAUAACUACUGGGAUUCAUAUCUCAAUUGCCACACUAAAGUCGUUUUAAAUCCCCAGUAUCUAGUUUGUCCGUGGUGAUCGAAAGCACGUACUACUUGUGAUUUUGGUCGUAAGUUUAAGUAAAUGGUCCCGACUUACUUUUUACUAGCGGGUCACUGUGCCGUCAGAUAGUAUCGUAGACUCGUCCUUUGGAGGUGUUACCCCUCCCCCCCCCCUCCGCCUAGGGCGGGACAUUCUGGCCAGCCCUCGACGCUCAGCCAUCAUGGGCCGGCUGGCUAGGGUGCUGGAGAUGUUGAAAAGAGAUGUCGAUGUAAAUGGAUGGUUCGCCUUGUACUACUGGUGGGAGAUGCCGCCCGUCUCCGACGCCUUCAAAGUGCUCAGGCGUUUCGUCUGUGGCUUUCGGCUCUAUCAUUGAGUUUACUGGCUGUAGCCUGCGUGCUGGUGUCACGAGCCGCCCGGUCGAUUUGGGGGCCACGUAGCCGGGACCCCUGGUAUAAGUUAUUGAUCCUUGUGGAAUUGUAAGAAAAUAUAUCUUCAUUAUAAGCAAUUAGACGCCUUUCUGUAAAAUUUCGAAUUUCAUUCUGAUAACAAAUGACGUGUUAAAGAAAACAUGCAUUAUGCGAUAUAUGUUGUAGUAUGUAUCAGGGUAACCUGUUGAUACUAAGUAUAUUCCGUAAGGUUUGCCUUAGUUGUAAUGAGUUUCCAAGACUUCGAUCUCGUUAGCUUAUUGAAGGGCCAUUGUAUGGCGAGGAGUUAAAGGGACUGAUCAUAAAAACCUUGCGGAUAGGACCUUAAAAGCAGGUCCUAGCGGUGCAUUUAUGGCAGAAAAGGUCCAAUCUAGUGACACUUAAACUCUUUACACCAAAGGAGGACAGUCAUCUAAGAGUCAUUGAUGCCGAUAUCAUCAUGUUUCGGGUGAAAUUGCGACUGAUAGGCACGUCGUGACAGUGUUCUCCAUGGUUUGGGGUUGUCUUCCUUUUCUUCGUAAUAUUUUGGAUAACUUGCACGAAUUUUAUCACUGGCAGCUGGUGAAAGGAAGUACCCGGCGUAUAGAAUAUAAUUUACUUAAAAAGUAGGUUAUGUACUGUGCCUAUGAGUAAUUUUCGUCAAAUAAAAAGUUUUCAGCGGUGAUAGUUACCAUAGUUACCCUAGAGGUUUAAAUAUAUCAAGAAUCGCAUAGUUACCAUAAUAAUAGUUGGGAAAAGUGUACUUCCUCCUAUAGUUGGACACAGGCUGGGGUGCGUCUUCUAUUAAAUCGCAUCAGCCUAAUUUGACCAUAUUCUAUGAAAAAGUCUUUUACGAUAGGGUAGUGGUUCAAUGUAAAGUUACGGAAAGUUUGACUAUCUGCACUCCUUCAACUCAUUAUGUCACUAUCGCUACCCCAAAAUUCGUUCAGCAAGGCUAAGAAUGAAAAGUAAAUAUCACACUAAUAUUUCAAAAUAUCUUAUUGUGCUUAAAAGAAUAAAACCGUUUUAAUCCUACUCAAACAACCAUACUUUCAAACUUCAAAUUAUUGCUAAGCACCUGGUAGAUAAAACAUGCAAAAUUUGGCAUAUUAAAGUCUUAAACUGUUCUGAUGGAACACUUUUCUAUCCUGCUCAAAUUAUACAAUUCUAUUUACUAUUUUUAUUCUCUUUGUGCGCUCCAUUACUACUAUGAUAGCAAACAUUUAAAACUGUUCUAAUGAUCAUUUGUCAUCAAUUCUUCGUUAAAAUUUUAAAUGUUGUCAUCAUCAAACUUUUUAAAGACGACUUUUUUUCGUAAACAUUCAUAACUGCAACAGCAGAGCGUCACUGAUAUUCUUCGCCGUGUCCCUUCAUUUUACAAUGUAAUUUCGAAUCAGGGGGCGACUCAUGAAAACAGCAGUGACGCUAAAGUGGUGCUUUGGCCACCAAUAUAUGAGAAUUGUAAAUUAUGUAAUUCGCGUAAGAAGGCCUUUUACUUCAAACAUUGUGACACAUUUCUCCUUAAAAAUUUCCCAGAGCCGUGCUCAAACCGAAGCGUACCCUGGUGUCCUAAGAUUAAUGAUACUCUCGUGGUGAUACUUGACUAAAAAAUCUUUGGUGCGUGCGUGCGUAGGUCAAAUCUAAAAUAUGUUCUUAGAAUCAGGUAGUACCCUGACAUGUAAAUUAUUGCUCAUUAUUGGCAAGCCUUAUUCUCAUUGUUAAGUCUGUUGCGAAACGAUUAUGCCUAGGGCUUCCGAAAAAGCUCGCAACUUUCUCGACAUUAUUAUAAAGCCUUUUUCAUAGUUAAAUGACAUCAUAAAAUCCCUAAAAAAUGUAAGUUUUCUGUGGUCACCAGCAUUUACUGUUGUCAAAACAGCCACUUAAGGCCCGCACAUAAGUUUCCCUCUUUAAAAAAAUGAUCCUAUGACGUACUAUUAUUAUGAACACUUUGUGUAUAUUAAAUGUGUGAUCGCUUUAGAUACGUUUAAAUCUUUGCACUUGUUGGUUUUAACGAUUUCAACAUUUUAAAAGGAACCUCUAAACUCUAUGAAAGGAUUUUUAGUCUCUCUUUUAUGACUAUUUUUGACUCUGUGUGUUUAGAUUUUGUGGUGUUGUGAAUUUUCGUAGCUGAGCUUUCGUAUAAUAUUCCAUGAAAUUCGUGUUUUUCCGCUCUAGAAACAAAUUUUCGAAGAUUGUCGCCUAGCUUUACGCCAUAUUCACGUUUAGAUUCGAUGUUAAAUGGUUAUUAAAUACUUCCUUUGAGAUUUGUUGGGUUACAACUCGUCAAAUGUUACCUUUUCAGUAUUUUUUAGGUCCCUUGAGACAAUUACUAUAUUCCCUUGGAGUAAGGAGGCGGCGAGAGUCGUCAUUUUUGAGGGCUUUGCUCCCAUUAGGAUAUUGACACCUUGCUGCAGUGUUACUUUUAGCAUUGUGUUUUGUUUUGGAUCAGUUUCAUAUUGCGUUUGGGGUGAACUCCGGGUAAAUUGAAUAACAGGAUCGUUCCAUAUAUUUGUAGCAUGCUCUGCUUAUUUUGUUCAAUAACGUCAUAGUUCUCACCUUGAUCUCUUUUUCAUUCUAUUCGUCCAUUUUCCACUUUUUUCCUAACAUUUGUCCUACGCCUUAACUAGAGUACAUUGGGUAAUCUAUUUUAAUGCGUCUUUUACCAUUUUCCUUCAAUGUUGCAUCUUUUUACUCUAACUUUCUAUGUCCUAAAACUUAAUACCAAUUGCGUAUUGCGCACUAUUUUGUUGCAUUUAGCGACUAUGACCAUUUGAUAUAUUUUUCAAAUUUAACAUUCCUUUAGAAACAUCUUUUACAAAUUUUAGCGUUUUGGCGUGUCGCGUGUCGCAUUUUUAACUAGUGUAGAUGGCUUUUUGCUACAAGUCAUAAUCUGUUUUUAUAAUUACCUAGCAGCCUUUUUUGUCCAUCCUCUUAAUUUAUUUCAAUCUCGCUUGUGUUUCCUACCUUUUUCAUCUUAAAUUGUCCUCUUGGUUUUUACCCUUGUAAAUCAUGGCUGGUAAUUUUACUGUGUGAAAAUGUUUUGCCCAAGUACAUAUACUUUGUUCAAACUGUUUGUGACUAUGGCUUCUCCUCCCAAAAACGUUUUUGUUUCUCAUGACCUAAGUAAAUGCGUCUAGCUGACAAAGUGUGUGCACUAAAACCCUGACCAAUAUGUGACUGUCAGUGACCAAUCAGUAGCAGGAAUGGACCAAACUCCUUCCUUCAAACGCCUUCCAUUGGAGUUGAUAUGAGGUGAACAAAUUGUUGGUAGCUUCCUCGCAUUGCCACCUGUCGUAGAGCUGCAUUAAUGAAUAAAUGACAAGCAAUCCAUUAACGAUUGUGGCCUGCUCUGAUUAUCAACUCGUUAAAAUAAAGGACCAAAGUGAUGGAAUCUAUCUUAAAUGGGAGUUACGGGGGACUACGACCGCUUAAAUGAAAAAAUUAUGAAGGUCAAUUAAGUCAUAAACUAUAAAUACUUGACCAACUCUUAAAUAAUGGAUGUAAUUUUAGAAAAUACUGUGGGUACUCAUUUUCAUACAUAUGUUUAUCAGUUUUAUACAGACCCUUGAUGAACUCCCAUAUCUCUAUUCAUUACAUGAUAUUGCAUUUUAAAUUCUUUCUUCUGCACCUUUAUUGCUCUUUCUGAUUUUUCGAUCUAUUUGAGGUACUCGUUUUAAUAUUUCUGCUUACACUGAUAUAUACUUUCUGUGUUUGUUGUGUCCCAUCACUUUUCAGAUUGUUUUGUGAUUUAAUAUUUUACUUUUGUAUGUGUGUGUGUGUGUGUGUGUGUCAUUCCUCCUCUUUUACCCUUCUCUAGGUAUUCGUGCUUUUGACGUAUCGUGUAGUUGUUUAAAUUUCUGAGUGUUUUUGAAGUUACGAAUCGUUAGCCCUUAGCCAUUCAAUUGUUUUGGGGCAGAGUAGGACGGGUGACCGAGUUCUCGGAAACAUACCAGUUCAAUAUCAGAGCCACCAACACCAUUCCAAGUAAUUAAAUAGAUGAAUCCUACGGACAAUAAUAUAGAGUAAGGAAGAAGUCAGUGUUUGCUGCUCAGCAUUAUAAACGACAAUACAUAAAAUGUGAAAUCAAUUCAGGUAACCCUUCCUUACUCAAAACCAAAACAGAAUAUUGUUUUCAAUUUGUCUAACCUUCGUUUAGGAUACAUAGAGAGACUACAAAUCCUUAUCCACCUUUCUGCCUUAUCGGUAGCGUUUUCGUAUUAUAGUUGAUAAUUAUGUUAGCAGGCAAUUCGGACUGCUCACAUAGUUACCCUUUUUGUAUUUGAAAUGCUUCCCCCUCAAAACGCAGUGACUUCGACGCUAUGCAAACACUUUUUUGUAUUAUUUAAACUCGUCCGAAAUUUUUACGAUUACUCGUCUCAAUGUUUGUAACAGAGAAACGCAAAGGAACUCCUCCGUCUAUCUGGCAGCAACUGUUCUGUUUCGAACAAUCGAAGCGCCCAGCAACUUGACUUGUGCAAGCGGGGUUUGCAUCGUUGUCAAACCAUGCUGUCACUGUUAAAAACAUUGUUGUCAAUUAACAACGAAAGUCAUUCAGUUAAGUUUGUUAGCAACACAUGUUGUUUUUUACAAUACAUGUUUUUGAAAAAAAAAAAAAAAAAAAAAACAUUGAUAAAAAUCUCAGAAACGAAGUUUCUGACCCAAAAUAGUCACUUUUGUCUGGAAUAAAAUCUUUUCAAGGUGUUGCUAACAAAAUGACCCACACGUUUCCUGUACAUUUACAGCAAAGUAGUGAAAAGUAGUUUCUGUUGUGGGUCAAAUAGCACAUGUUUCGCGAAGGGUCAAAUGAAAACAUUUGUUGUUAGUAGCAGCUGUAUUGUUUCCAAAAUCAUUUUUGUACAAAACUGUUUUACACAGUGUGCGAAAUCUAGUCGCACUUUCCAUGCAUGGAAUUUCUUUCGAGACACAGGUGCCAGUCAGUAAAGAAAUACCAAUUUUCCGCUUCCCUACGUUCAAACUGCCCCCCCCCCCUCUACCGCUCCCGGAGGAGAAUUGCACCAUGAAAUCGGUAUCGAUUGCGAGCCCCAGCUGAUGGGUACCGAGCAGGAGCCGUGUUAGACACAGGCUGCUCUUGGAGUACGAGAGGAGGGUAGCGCCGGCGCGUAGUGCGCUAUGAGUGACGAUCGCGGGAGUUCAGUGAAGAACGGUGCCGUUUUGGCUCGGGAGCUGAUCUACGAUCGCGGGAGCUCAAACUUGUUCGGUUAACGAUCGAACUGAAGUAGUCUCAGAGAGGUGCUCUCUGACUGGGUCCUUAAGAUGGGCCACGUGAGGAGGCGGGAAAGAGGUGACCUUGACGAUGUAGCUUCUUCGCGUUCUCUGUUCCAAUAUGAGAGCUGUUAUGCGGCGAUCUGGCAGGAGUCAUGGUAAGGACUGGCGAUGGCUUAGGUAUUUGCCUUACUUAGUCCUCAAAUUUCUCAGUUAUUUUAAGUGGUUCUCAUCCAUAGAGAUUUUGUGCGAUUCCAUUAGUUUCGAAAUGCCUUCGUCGCUGGCUGCGAGCGCGGGAGUUCGAUGAGCACGCAAGGUGUAGUCGAGCAUCAAUCGCAGGAGCCUGCCGAGCACUGACUAGCGACGAUCGCGGGAGUCCGAUACAGUUUCGGGCAACGAUCGCGGGAGCUUGUCUCGAGUGUCUAGAGGGUAUUUUGUAAAUCUCACUAAUCUUUUCCAAAUGUUUCAAACGCUGUGUCAUCGUUAUCGUGAUACGCUUAACGUUUGGAACACGCGGCGACCAUAACAGUUAAGGAAUUGUAAGAAGUAAAAAGGGAAAAAAAUAUCAAUGCUAAAUUUUGAAAUCUAUUAUAAUGACUAACUUUUCCUUCUUGGGUAAUAUUAAAAAAAUAAUUCCUGGCAGUAUAACUAACUGAGAGUUCUGACUCGAUAUUCGUCGGUCAGCACUCUAAUCUUUAUCGCACACCUUUGUGCUGUAGCGGUGCGUGGAAAAGUGACGGGUGAUGUGAAGCUCAAAAUUUGUAUUUCCUCUAACGGUGCCCGUUGAGCAUCUGCGUAUUCGCGUGUUUCAACGUCAGACAAAAGAGGCAGUGUCACUAAUGAGCUUCACAUAUCGAAGCAGCAGUGCUGUUGCCUGUCACGCCAUGCUCGCUUCACAUGGAAAUAAAAGCCAUAAAUCGUGCCUUCUCUAAGUUUGCUCUCGAAGACUGUUGCCCAUUGCUAUAUGCUAUGCAUUGAAACCCGAAACCCCGUUACGUCUCGUUGAAGGGAAGGUGCUCUGCUAAUGAUUUAAACAAACUUUUUGUCUGUUUGGAAAAGUGUUAUUUUCCUUUCCGUACGGGUAAACGUGUAGAGUUUCUGCAUUCAAAUUGCGUCAAACAAAAGAAAAUUUAAAUUUGUUUUUUUUUUUCACAUUAGUAUUUUUGAAUGGCAAUCUUCUAAGGCAAACUUAGGGGCACAGAAGAUUUGCAUGGAUUGCGAAUCAAAAAAUAUGUUUUGCAAUACAAAACAAGAUCAGGCUAUGAGUUGCAUUCGACGUAUCGGUCUCUUAGUAAAAUUGAAAUAGUCGCCGUAAAAGGUGCAAAUAUUUCUUCUUUUUGAAAUUAUUAAUAAACUUUAAGACUUAUUGCUGGUUUCACCUUUUUAAAUAAAAAAUGAUUGAUAGAGCUUCUUAUACUUACAAAAUAUGACCUUGGUGUGUUUUAAAUCCUUUUUUAAAUACGUGGCGCUAGCACGUUAACUGAAAUUUCGCUGCUUUUCCUCUUUACUAAAGAGAAUCGGUUUUCAGGAUAUUUACUUGUGCGAAGCUGAUUGCUUUUUAUGUUUUAUAAUUCACCAACGCUGCUUGGAAAAAAAUUACACGCGGUGCUCUCGUGUUCCCUCGUCACACUAUGUCUAAAAGCUCAUGCUUUGAGAUGUAUUGAAACGGAGAGAACAGGUGCACCGGUGCUAACGCUGAUGAUUUCUAAGGGUUCAUGGAGGUGCAAUAGAGCGUUGCAAUCGCUAGCACGGAUCAAGCUGUACGAGUGUUGGUGUAAUUGACUUUGAGGGGCUACCGCAAAAGAUGAAUUAAGAGAACGGCCCAUUAGUAUUCCCGAAACUUAAUUGCGAUUGGGGCUGGUCUACUCUCUGACUGUGGGACACCUUGGCGCCUGACGGUGGGGGCUUGUGUCUAUUUUGACUUGGGGCGUAAUAUUCACUCUCUUCACUAGCAAAAGAGUUGAGGAGUUGUUGCUUCACACCACACUUUUGUCUGACCAGAAGCGCAACUCCUCAAAGUUUUAUCGAAGUUCCUAUCAAAGAGCCUCUUUCGCUGCCCUGACACCUCUGCUAUUCUUGCUGAGGGUCGACCUCGGAUUUACUGCCGAAGAGUCUCCUCUCUGGAUUGACCUCAGGGGUCACCUUGUACCGUCUCCAUCGCCAUGACCUCGAGAGAGUGUUUGCGGUACAGUCUCCCGUGCGCUGCGGGUAGACAUCGGGGGAUUGAGUUCUCCGUAUUGUCUCCCCCGCCCUACGGAUGGACCUCAGCGGCUACAGACCCCCUGAAGAGUCUCCCCUGCCCUGGGGAUAGACCUCGGGGGCUGCACUCCCCCGAAGAGUCUCCCUUUCCCUGUGGAUUGACCUCGGGGGCUGCGCCCCCCCGAAGAGUCUCCCCAGCCCUGUAGACGGACCUGAAGGACUGAAAGGCCUCUCAGGAGUCUCCCCUACCCUGUGAGUAGACCUCAGGAAGUAGAAACCUCCCGAGGAGACUCCUAUCUGGAUUGACCUCGGGAAACGCCCCGAAGAGUCUCCUCCUGUGCCCUGUCGAUAUGCCACGGUGCAAGAUAAGUCCCUGAAGAGUCUCCGUGAUGGAUUGACCUCAGGGACGGUAGGGUGUUUGAAGUUUUGGAUUGACCUCGGGGGCUUCAAAGAAGCCCCCGAAGAGUCUCCAUGUGGAUUGACCUCAGAGGUUUAUUGGACCUUUGAAGAGUCUCCCUUGGAAGUUGACAUUAAGAGCCUUCAAGGCAUUCUUGUCUUCUCCACUUGAACAGGGACUGGGCUUUAGGGCAAGUCGCUGCAGUUCGGUACAGUUCAUCUGCGGCCAUGGCUUAAAGCGACGAGUUGUCCGUCAGAAAGUGAGUCAGGUACAGCCUUGACGAAUUUAAGCGUAGUUCUGAAUUCGUAGAAGGGUAUAUACAACCAAUAGUGUGACAAUAUCGUCCACAAGAAACCAUCUGCAUUUAGAUCAGAUAUUGACAGAAGAUUGUCAAGUGGCAAAUAUUUUAAGUUCCUCAAUAACGAAAAUUUUCGAUAUAUCUCUGAGAUCUUUGCGAUUAUUGAAUACUUGAAAUUUUUCUUGUAGGCCCGGCGUAUGUAUGUGCAAAUUGCGUGCAAUCCCAUCCUCCUGUGAGCAGAGCUUGACUUCAGGAGACAUUGUUUUCCCUUUUCUAGCCUAUUUCCUACAGGCGAUCCCCCCUCCCACCCCGCUUUCUCCUCUCCCUUUCCUAUUGCAUGUGACGUGUUACUCAAAAUUUCCUUUUCCGAUUGGCAAGUGCAUAUUCCAUAGGCAGACUGCCUGUCUCCUCUUUUCUUCCCCGCGUAUUUUCUUUCCCAUUACUUCACACUAUUUUCUCUCUGUUUAUGAGGUCAAGCAAUCGACAAACGUUUUACGAAACAGGAAUGCAACAGUUACUAUGAGAGCGAACUUCCGUUACAGAUCGAUAGUAAAGUUUACUGAGCAUUAGUGCUUUUCUCAGCCAACACCCAACAGUUUUAGUGAACUGUGUACUUACACCCUAUCAAAACCAUGUGUGACCAGGUUUAAAUUUUGGAGUUUCUUCGUUUUAAAAACAUGAACACUAUGUGUUCAUGUACCGACUACUGUUGUUUUGACAGUUUCUUUGUAUGUUUCAUUCUUAAAAAAUUAUGACCUCAGUAUAUCCAAAUUGAGCGUUCUAUUUUAGUUCCUACACGCAUGAAUGAGUAGGGCUAAAAGUCUCGACAUGGUAUCCAUAUUUUUCAUUUUUUUUAAAUGGCAUAUCUUGAACUUAGAGACACGCUUAGAGACACGCAGUAUUGCAAGACUCUCGACAAUGGUAUGUGCAACCCAGUUACUCAAUAUUUUUCAUCUUUAUUUUAUAUGCCUUAUUUUACGACGAGUACUAUCCUUAUCUGUCUGGGGAAAUAAUUUUUCUCACAGAAAUAUUACCCAUCUUACAUUCUAAUUGAUUGUAGGAACCCUGGACGCACUGUAAUGGGCAUUUCCAAGACCACCAGGAAACUUUUAAAAGCCCGCUAAACUCUCGAAAAUAAAAAGCUCACGUGUGAUUGCCGUGCAUGUCUCUAUGAUUGAGUAGAUGUGUGUACCAAAGGAGGGACGCUCUGUUUAGUGUAAUAUCUGAAAUGUGAGCCGCUUCGAUCAACUCUGUAAUAGUACUUGACUUUACAUUUAUUUUUAUCAAUACGAGAAUUCCUAGCUUCUGUAUUUUGUAUUGUUGGCCUCCUUUACAGUAGACGAACCUUUGUUCCAGAUUCUUACAAUAUUCUAACUGUUGUACUUGUCAUGUCUACUUACAAUUUAGAUUAAAUUUGUUUUAAACAUGAACAACUUGUAAGGUUCUUGAAAACGUGAGAUCAUUUGUUGUCUUUUUUUGUUAAAUCGUUUCAUGUGUCUAACUAUAGAUAAUAUUAAUUUCGUGUGUACGUAAUUUUCAUUUGAAAAUUAGUGUGUGGAUAUUCUAAAAAAAACAAAAAACGUUUUUGUAAAGCUAUCUUAAAAUUUAAAUUCAGUCAAUGUAUGUCAUCCAUCGUUUUCAAUGCUUUCCUUCAGACUGCCUUGGUGUUAUUUUCUAUCUCCCCCUCUGUGCCUUUUUGUGUGUUUUGUAUGUUACAACAAAACGAGUAGUUUGGACUCAAAUUGCAGCGCUUUGCCACCAACAAGUUGUGCGGUGCAUAUCAAAUAAGAGAGCCCGGACAGUAUUUUCUCUAGGUGUAGACUGUGUACAUUUCUUUGUAGGCGUGUAAAUUUAGACAUGUGCCCCGUCGAAUCAACCGAAAAAAUGUUUUUGUUAGAUAAAAUUGAAAAAUUAAAAUAUAAACGUUAAGUUUUUCAGGCUGAUACAAGUUGCUGUUGAUUUCAACGGUGUACAUGCAUUGUAAAUUCAGUGUGACUUCAUUUCCAGAACUGUCCACUCUUGAGACCUGCAAAUGGUUUUUAAAGAUGUACCCCAUGCCAGAGCCGUUGCGUUAUCUUGUUGUCUUCGGGAAAUAUAUAAAUGUUGCUAAAACUUUAAGCCAAUUUCAAACUCUUGCCUGUUAUUGUACGUUCUGCGGAUCUGAGUGUGACUUUUACUUGUGUACAGAAUCCCAAAUGGUUAUAGUGGAACCUAUGUUAUAUCGGAUUAAAAAUAAAGAGUAAAUAGUAAUUACCAAAUGAUUGUA